CUUCCCUCUCACUCCCUCUGUGUUAAUUGAUGACCUUGGCGUGUCUGUCUUCAUAGCCGCUGAGUGAUCAACAUAAUCGGCGAGAUCAUUAUUAGCAAGAUCAGACGCUCCUCCACUCCCAUUCAGCGCUAUUCAUCACAUCAAGACUUAAUUGGAUUGCUAAUUGAUGUGUAGAAACCCAUGUAAUUGCAGUAAAAGGCACUUUCUGCUAGCCCGCUGUGCUGCGGGGAGGAGUGUGCUCAAGCUGCCAGACAUACAGCCUACCCAACAGUGGGUCACGUAGUUCAACAUGUGACGCGUGCAACCCUGUGAGACGUGAACACGCUCCAGAGAUCACUUCAAAGUCUCAUGUGCUGCUCUAACUAUGUGAUGCAUGCUUCUUGUGCUGCAUUCUCUCUACAUAACAUUAACCUGGUUGCGGUUAACAUGUGACAGCGAAGACCUCCAUAAACUUCUGAGUUGGACUAGUUUCAUAGUUCACAGCCCCUCCUUUUCUUUUUCUUCUUCAGUGGUGUUUUCUGCGUCUUUCCCCUUUCCUCUCUUGUUUCUUAGAAGUGGGGAGAUGGAAGUGGGUGUCCACCUUUCAGAGUAAAGAAAAGAAAAGAAAAAACAGUUUAUUCUCAAGGGAAAUCUGGAGCUGCAGCGCUCCAACAUUACAGUUAAAAAAAAAAGUAAUACAAAGAGCAUCAAAUAUACAUGAUACACACAAAGAGAUCGGUGUAUGAUAAAGUGUUUGGUGGAUGUGGGUUCAACAAAGACCUAAAGAAACCAGGAAUAGAGAGAAACACGAUUCAUUCUUAUUAAUCGUGUUGUUUGUGUAUCACCACCACAACUCUAAAAUGUCCCUAACUACCUCUAUAUUUAUUGAUUGUGAACUUUCAGAGGAAAAGGGUUGUUUUAUGGACGACUAUGAAUAUAUAAAACAAAAAUGUAUUUUCAUAAUCGUACAAAGAUUUUGACUUCAGUCGUUUCAAUCCAUUUAUCCACACAAUAAAAGGCAAGUAAAGGAUUUAAUCCUAACAUGUUUUACAGAUUACUUUAAAUCUACGAAGCUUGUAUGAUCUUACUCAAGUUGUCUGUGAUCCAUCUUACCAUGUAGGACUCUGGUCUGGAUCUGCCUUCUUUCUCAGGUAAACAGACUCUGUGUAAGUGCUCAGAUGAGUGAUUGAAACUGCGGCUUAUUUUAGUGAUCCAGAUUGUGGUUUAGCAAGAACUGUUUCAUUCAGCUCCUAAAACAGAUCCUCGGAGAGCCAUGUUGGUUUACUCUUGGAAUAUGUCCAUUUAACAAAAAACAGACCUUCUUUAUUUGCUCCAUUAUGACCUGUGAAGACUAAAAACUUACUUUUGGUUUCUGCCAAUCCGCAUUUUAUUUAAAGAAAGCAACAUGAAGAAUAUUUAAGAGAGAAUUGCUGUCUAUCAUCAAAUAUGAACCAUGAGUGGUAACUUUUGCUAUCGUAGAACUUGAAGUAAACUCAGUAAGUCUGCAGAAAAGAAAGAACAAACACCAGUUACCAAAUCGAUGUCAAUCAGAUCAGAAAAACAAAUCAAGUUGCGGUGAAGGUCUUCAAAACUGACACAUACUCCUUACUUCAAGGUCAUACUGUCUGCUGCAACAGUGCUGCAAAAAUGAUGACAUUAAAGAUAUCUGAACUGAACAGGUUUUGAUCAAGAUUCAAAUUCUAAUUUUAAAUUAAAAUCCAUGUAUAUAUAAGGUCUUUGUUUCAGUAUUAAUGAUUUGUUACAUAUUCAUGUAAGACUUUGGAGCUUUGGUUACUUUUUGGCAACUUCAGAAAUCCUAAAAUUCUAGAGACGUGUAAAGGGUCAACGAAUAGGAAGGAAUGAGGGGAGGUACAAAUAAGCUAAAUAGCAUCUACCUUCUCCUUUUCGAUCUUCAAAAAAUAGGGAAUUUCUUGUCUAAAACUGUUUGUAUAUUUGAUCGAAUUUGAUCGAUGCUGUAAAAACAGGUGAUUUAAAAUGGGCUCUUAUGGGGAUUUCCUUUGGAGAAAACUCCAAGUGGACACUCAAGGAACUGCGGUUUUGGGCACAUUUACAUUUGUAUCAUUUUGAUUUUAAUUAAGUAUUUACCAGAAUAAAUGAUAGUUAAAUAGAUCCUCUCAAUAAGAAAACACUUCAGUCAUGUUGUACACAAGCAAACACGGUGGCUUUAGCUUUCCAUUAAAACCAACAAGAGGAAAAUGGUCUGCCCCGUGACACCCGAUAAAACCACAGGGGCUGUGCACUGUAGUCUGUGACAAUUACACCAGCUAACUGAUGGCAUGCAGUUUAAAUUAGCAUGGUCGAUCUACCACGUAAUGGACCACAAUGAGACGCCAGUCAGACUGAAACUAAAGGAUCCUUGAUGUGGCAGCGAGAUAAAACAGAAAUCUAAUCUCAAUUAAGGACAAGUCCCCUUCAUGAAAGUCAUUACUGUGUUCUGGUGGCCCCACCGGAACCAACCCAGACUCUGUGAGGAACAAAAAGCUCCACAAUACCCCGGUUUGAUGUUUUCUUUCUUUCUUUCUUUUCCUCUCUGUUUGUGCGCCAGACCACAGGGAGGGAUUUAGCAUUCAAGUCAUCUUUUUACUAUUCAAUUCAAACAUCUGGACGGUUUCAAACCUUGCUGCACUCCCUCUGCUGCACCUGAUAUUUCCUGCACAGAGUUAGUUUGAGUCAGAUCUGGUUCAAAGUCUGGUUUUAAGGUUUAAGAAGUUUUCCAAAUGACAGGAUGAAUAAUAUAUCCUGUCAUAUGUUCCCUGUUGGCAGCUAAAUGUUUAUACUUUCAUGUUGAUGCACAUCAAGGAAAAAUGGGAAGUUGGAUCUCUGCUUUUGUAUUUUAUCUAAAUAAAAAAAAGAAAAAUCAACAUAAAACAUUUAUUAUUUAGGAUUCAGACCUGCAUGAGAUGGAGGAAUAAAGUCAAAGAAGAAUGAGGUAAAAUAACAGAUUAUUUGGUAUUUACCCCACAAAUCUAACUCAGCUGUAGUUAGUAAAUAGGAACUUUCUUUCUUUCUUUUUUCCUUUUUUUCUUCAUCUUUAUCCCAUUUUUCUUUUACUCCAUAUCAGUCUUUUUAUUCAUUUUUCCUCUUUCUCUUUUUACUCUUUUUUUUUUAUCUCAAGUUUUCUGUCAUAUUACUUUUCCCCCUUUAAAUGUCAUUUUUAAUUUCUCUUGAUGACCCAUUUUUCUUUCUUUAACCUUUUCAUUCAGUCCAUUCCUCUUGCCUCUUUCUUUCCUUUUUAUUAGGAUCCCCUUUUUUAAAAAAAAUAUAUUUUUUUAAAUUUGGCCAUUCCUGUUUUUUUCUCUUUAUUUUUCAUGAUUACAUGUUUUCAUGUUUUAACUUUUUUCCUCUUAUCUUUAACUUUCCUUUCUUUCCUACUCUGUUUCUCUUGUUUCUGUUUUCCUUUUAUUCAGAUCACUUUAAUAUUUCUGAUUUCUUUUCCUUUUAUUCUCUUUUCAUGGAUCAUUUUUGCUUUCCUUUUUUACAAGCUCUCCCUUAUUUCAUCAUCUGUUCUCAAUUUUUCUGUCGCUCAUGAUUUCUCUCUCUCUCUCUGAGGUAAAAUGAGGCAUUUUUAAUUUUCCUUUCCCUUUUUUUCUCUCCUACUCUCUUUAUCUCUCUCUUGUCUUGUUGAUGUUGUUUGGUUUCCUUCUUCCUUUUUGCCUGUUUGUGAUCUCUUCCCCCAUUACUCUUCUCCUGUUUUUCCAGAUUUUUCACAUUUUUUUUCUAAAUCAUUUCCCCCUCUUUGUGUUUUUCUACCUUUAAUUAUACACUUGAUCUUUUUCAGUCUCUUAUAAUUCAAUUUGGCCCAGAAUCCAACUCCCAGUUUGCUGUAAAAGGGGUUUGAAAAGUGUCUUUACUUCACAAUAGUACAAAAAAAAAAGACAUUUUGCCCAUUGUCACCAUUCAAACACAGAGUAAAAGAGAAAGGCUGCGAGCAGAGAGAGAGAGACAAAAAUAUAUAUUUAGAGAAAGAGACAGACUCUGAAGACCAGACUGUGCAGAUGUUACACAAAUGUCAACAUCGGCUCCCAUCUCCAAUCCAGCGAAAAUCACAUCAUCAAAUAUUUGCUCUUGCUGUGGAUUUUUCUCUGUGUGUCAGUUCUCACCCAGUCGCUUCUUGUCAGCGUCAGACUUA